rnacentral:lncRNA from 1 species
UCUGUCAGGCAUCUGAAAUUUAGGUCUACAAGUACAACAUUGUGGAGUUUGGACUUCUUCAAUCUUAGGCACCGUCCCUAACUUUAUAUCUUUUGUUUGUUUUGUUACUACAACUUUCACAUUUUAGAAUGUUGCUAGCUUCCUCCUCCCUCAGGAAACAAUGCUUAAAGAAACAAAAUGUAAAAUACAUUGGCAUAUUAGUCCCAUUUUCCUUGACCAUGCUCUUCUUGUUGCAGCCAAGGUUUUAAAAAAUGGUAUCCAAUGACAAUUUCUGCUGCAGUAUAAAAUCAACGCAGCCACAUCAGUUACAUUUAUCUGAAAUUUUCCACAACAUCAAAUACUGCAAUGAAACUCUAAUGGGACCUGACCGUAAUUUAAAACCUUGGUUGCAUACAACCAGUGCAUACAAGGCAGCAUGACUAGGCACAUGCCAGUUAUUUACAAUGAAAUUGCCUAAUACGUUAACCCAGUUCCAUCAGUUUAGAUAGUCAUGUGACUUUAGAUACAUUUGUGUCUGCUCAAGCAGUAAGCAUAUUAUUGUUAAAUGGUGUUAUUUUAUAGGUCAAAUCUUGUUUAUUUUGGACUGUUUCUGUGUAAGUUCUGUUUCACUCUUCUUUUGCUUAUGAAAUAUGCUCAUUGUAUAUUCAAUAAUACCUUGUUGAGCAUCAUGACCUUUUAUUAUAGAGAUUGUUGGAAUAACUAAACCAGUAGGAAGUGGCAGAUUUGUUAAGAUUUUUGCUGGUUUUAUGAUACUAGUCAGUCUUUAUCUAAGAUGGGUUUGAUAUAGACAAAUCAAACAUGAGUCGCAGUGGGGUGAAGUUUAAAACGUUAAGGCUAAAUAUUUGAAAGAUUUGUAUAAUUUGCCAUUCAAUACAAUCU